UGUACAGUGCCUUGAGGUCAUCUGCAUUAUUUACGUAGCUUUGUUGAUUUAGUUUACCGUACAUCUAACACAGACACCUGACAUCAUGUGCCCACAUCCUGAACUUCACUUUCACACAGGAUGCUGAUUCAUCAUGAGAAAGGGGGCAAUCCUAUCAGCUGUUUCUCUUCUGUCUUUCUUCUUUAUCUUCUUCCGUCUUGAUGGAUGCAGCUGUACUCAAACAUCUCCACAGACGUACUGUCAGCCCUCAUCAGUAUCAAAAGAUGGCUGCUGAGGAGGCUCCAGGGACACUGGGCUUGCGUGGACUGAUUGGCUGGAUACUCUGCUAUAAAAUGUAUUUACAAAA